rnacentral:lncRNA from 10 species
CUCAUAGACACUUGAUUAGCCUUAGGCAGUCCUGUGCAUCACAGCCUUCUGCAAUACCUGCCAGAUCAUCUACAGAAGCUGGAAAGGCCUGCGUUUCUUGGAUUGUGGCUCCUUUCCUUUAUCUUCAAAGCUAGCAAUGGCAGAUUGAGCACUUCCAAUAUAGUAUAUUUCUAACCAAGGCAGCUGGGAAAGGUUAUGGAUUUUAAGGACUCAUGUGAAGAGAUUGGGACCACUGUAUAAUUUAGGGUAAUUCCCCAUUGCACAUCCAUACCCUUAAUCACAUCUUCACAUUUCAUUUGCCAUGUGAGAUAUACUCAUUCACAUGUUCCUGGAAUUAGGGUAUGGGCAUAUUUCAGGGCUAUUACUCUGCUCACCAUAUUGGAUAAACU